CAAAAAGGUCCCCGCAAUUCUGUCUCCCCCAUCUCCCUAUCUGUUGCAGACUGGCGGCGGUACAGAUCCGGCGGGACACCGUCGCUGUGCGCAGUCCUUUCCCCCAACUACUCCGGCUCUAAGGUCUGGGAUCCGCCUCCCGGGCAGCCCCGACGUUGCUCUCCAUCUCAUCGUCGGGGACCCAGCCGCCGCUGCCGCCAAGGUCUACUCCCUGGGGGCACCACCUCGGCUUCACCGUGCCGGACUACGGCGUCUUCGCGACCGGCCCGAAGAGCCAUGGCACGGACGUGUUCGAGAAGACGCAGCCUGACGGCCGGGCGCGACUGGUCUUCUUCCUCGACCCCGACGAUAUUAAUUCUCCAGUGCUUCUCAUUGAUGAUGCCAGUACACCGAAAAAGAAACAAGCCUUCUCUCAAGAGGUACCAACAUUGGUCACUGCGUGUGAUGGAUAGAUCCAAGCUCGUCGACAAGUACUAAGUUAUUUGUAUAAACCCCAGUGUGACAUGGAAUUGAGGCCAAAAGUGGGGAUGCUAUUUGAUGACAUUGAUCGGUAAUGGAAUUUUACAGAACAUAUGCACACCAUGUUGGAUUUGGUGUACGUCUUGGGCAGCAAAAGAUCGUAGGUAAUGUGCUUCACUGGAAGUGCUUGUGUGCAAAGGAAGGUUUUCGGCCCGAGAAAGGUACGUUUGUUGUCGAUCCUUCAAAGAAAGGGAGAAACGUGAAAUUGACUAUAUGUGGUUAUAGGUAAUAUUGUUCUUGUCGAACUCAUGAAUGCUCUUGAGUCUUGAGUGAUUAAACUAUCCAGUGCCUUCUCUGUCCAGCAUAGAAGCAUUUAGGUUGUGUUUUGGGAUGAAUUUGUCUCUAAUUUUCCUUCUAUGUGGUAUGUGCAGCAAACAAUCGAAUGUUGUUGUUGAUGCAUAUUCAUUUCAGUAGGUCUGAUGUCUCCCAGCACAAGAUUGAUAAGCAAGAAGCUGCACAAGAAGAUCGAUAGGCAAGAAGCACUAGUACUGGAGGCAAAAGGCUAUAGCUUUUCCUGUUGCGUACCAUCAACAUAGCAAAAGUUGAUGCAGAUUCUAACGGCAAUGCUUGUUCAGCAGUGUUGAUUUUAGUCCUUCAUACUUAGUGUUGUCUGUGAUGUACCAAAAAUGAUCCUCUCAUGCUAUGUAACACUCUGUAUGUAUGCGUGUCUCUUCUUUUCUGUUAUGUCUAGGAUCAUGCAAUUUCAAAUGAUGUUUAGUUAUGAUUUAAAGCGGAUGGAUUAAUUUUCUCAUG